rnacentral:rRNA from 1 species
UUGAAAGGGAAACGAUUGAAGUCAGUCGUACCUGCGGACAAUCAGCCUUUCGGGUGCGAUUAUGUGGAGCGUGGGGAGCUAAACACCUUCAUGCCUGCGUAUUUGUAUUCUGGGGUGUACUUGGACGUGCGGUAGGUUAACAUCAAUUUCGGACGUCAUAAAAUGGCUGGAGGAAUGUAGCUUCGGUCUCGUACUGAAGUGUUAUAGCCUUCGGCAGAUAUGGUGACCGGGAUUGAGGAUUGCAACGGAUACCUUUUGGGCUACCCGCCUGAUCUCUGAAAGUUGCUCUGGUGCCGAAAGCUUGCUUACGGUUAUCAAAGUUGACGUUCAAAAGGUUAGAACGGGUUAAAUUCGUUAAGGAUGUUGACGUA